rnacentral:lncRNA from 10 species
GCCUACAACAAGCAAUACAAACAUGCUUGCAAAGAAAGAGAAGAUACAAAGAAGAGAUUGAGAACCGAAAAAUAAUAAUAUAAAUAACAAUAUAAACCUCAGCAUAUGGGCUCAACAGCAGAAUGGAAGGGAUAGAGAAAAUAAAUUAGUGAACUUCAAGAUAGAACAAUACAAAUUACCCCAGCUGAAGAACAGAGAGAAAGUGGACUGGAAAAAAAAAGUGAACAGAGUGUCAGGAACCUGUAGGACCAACAAAGGAUCUAACAUUCAAAACACUGUUGUCCCAGAAGGAGAAGAGAAGGAGAACACGGCAAAAUAAGUACUUGAAGAAAUAAUGACCAAAAAUUUUCCAAAUUUGAUUUGGCAAGAGACAUAAACCUACAAAUUCAGUGAGCUAAGUGAAUUCCAACAGGAUAAAUCUCCCACAUCCAUGUCAAGACACAUCCAUAAUUCAACUCCUGGGGUCACCAGGCUGAGGUGGCAAACAUACUAACUGUGAUUUGUGCAGAGCAAAAUUAUUUCCAUUUAUAGAGGAAGAGACUGAGAUUCAGAAGGGUUCUGUCUUGCCCAAGAAUACAGAUCUUGGCAGAGCUCACCACAAGGCCAACGGAAGCCAUGGAGAGCGCUGUGAACUGUGGGAAUUGCUGCAGGUGACAUCUAAAAGGAGAUUUAUUGAGGAUCAAGGCAGAGGUCCCCAGAGGACAAACUGUACAUCUGAUUCCUUCCUCCUGCUUUUCUUCCUGGCCGAAAUAGAUGAUUGAAUUCAUCUUUCUUCUGGCACCUUGUCUCAGAGACUUCCCUUGCCACAGUUCCAGACCCAUCCAGGCCAUGACUGCCAUGUAGACGACACACCUCUCUGCUCACAAAUAACUGGCCAAGCCUGAGGUAGCCAGGUUUUGGAGCAUUGAUAAUAUGGGUUUUUCCUGUGUUGCCCCUAAACAUGUUGUUUCAUUUUGUCCCCUUGUCAUGGGGUCUUCACAGAACUCCUGCCUUAGAGGAUAAGGAGAGACUCUUGCUGUAGCAACUGUAGACACCGGUGUGCACUAAAUAGGGAGGUGAACCUUGGCAGAAGAUGGAAAAUUUUUUUGGAGAAGGGGAUUUUUGGAUCAGUGCUUGUGGCUCUGACUCUCUUUCUGAAAGGGAAUACCCAAGAACAUGAGGAUUUUCUGUAUCUAGAGCUUGAAGACUAGCCUUCUCCAGUAUUUUGCGCUCUUCCUUAAACGAUCACAAUAUAGUCUGAGGUCAGCUUUCUUCAAACAGGAAUGACCUUACAGGCAGAGAAGAUAGCUAUAGGUGGAGACUGUUACCUCAUACUGUAGACUCAGAUGUGUAGGAUAGGUUCAGAUCCAGCUGCCCAAGCUCAAUUUGGAGGACAUGCCAUUCUUGGUACUGUUCAUUCUGAACUAUAAAUUUCUUUGUCUGCUUCUCUAAGACAUCUUUCUGUCUUGUGUUUACUGCUUAGCACACCAAACCACUGUCCUUCAAUUAUGAUAACAGUGAAUCAUUUCUGUGUGCUUACUAUAUACCACAUAACUUAGUAUACAGCCUGUAACUCAUAUAAGUUAAGAAUUUUUUCUUCAUUUUAUCAUCACAACCACCUUGGAAUUGCCCAUUUUCCAGAUGAUCAAAUGAGGUUUCUGGAGGUGAAGUGACUCUUCCAUCUCCCAGAGCAGCAGCUCCCAGCCAGAGUCGGCUCUGCCUGCACCCAAGACCUUGGCAAAGCAACCAGAGCCAGAAAGAACCACGAGAGAAGCUUUCAAUGACUUUCAGCCACUUUGUCCCCCUUUGUUUCUCUUCUCCUCUCCUGCAUUUUUCUCCAUCUCCAGGUACAGUUCAGGAUGUGGAUGCCUGUCCCCACACAAAAACACUUGGGAUUCAUUCCUCAUACCACAAUUCAUCCCGAUUUUCCCCCCUUUAAAGUCAGAUCUCACCUACCUGUUUGGUCAGAGAUGUGUGUUUUAAAAUCCCCAAGGAAGGAGGCAGGGACUGUGCCCUGAGAUGAUUGUUGGUGAAGUGGAUUUAUGCCUAAUUUCAGUUUAAGAGAAUGUUGCUGUGUCUCUGCCUAGGACAGGCAGCCCGCUGUGGCCCUGGGUGAUGAGGAAAGGCCACAGAGGCCCAGGGUUUUAUCACCUGUGGCUGCCAGUGUCUGCAGAGCCAGAAUUGAGCUAAUCCAUGAAAGAAUGAGCGCUGGUGGGCAGUUGUAUGGCAGGUUGCUAUGGGGCUUCUUGAUCUCUCAAAUUCCAGGUGACAAGAUCAAUGCAUCCUUGAGGGGCCCCUUCCCAGCAGGCUCUGGUGGCUACAAACUGGUUCAGGUGUGGAAGAUCAUACCACUUUACCUUUGGUUUUUCUUUGAAAAGCAAACAACGAAAGACAGAUGAAAACAAGAAUUCUACCCGUGGGCAGGCAAGAAUUCUCUUCGGGAAAAGGGAUGUUUGUGGCUCUUCCACACAUUGGCCUUGAAAGAGGUUGUUUGCAGAGUGGCUAUUAUUAAAAUGUCCAAAAAAUAGAAAAUGCUGGUGAGGCUGCAGAGGAAAGGGAAUGCUUAUACACUGUUGGCCAGAGUGUAAAUUAGUUCAUGGAAAAAUUAUAAAGAAAGCAGUUUGGAGAUUUCUGAAAUAAUUUAAAACAGAACUACCAUUCCACCCAGCAAUUCCUUUACUGGGCAUUUACCCAAAGGAAAAUAAUUGUUCUGCCAAAAAUACACAUGCUCUUGCAUGUCCAUCACAGCAGUAUUCACAAUAGCAAAGCCAUGGAAUGAACCUAGGUGGCCAUCAGCGGUAGACUGGAUAAAGGAAAUGUGGUACAUAUACACCAUGGAAUACUAUGCAGCCAUGAAAAGAAUGAAAUCAUGUCCUUUGCAGCAACAUGGAUGGAGCUGGAGACCAUAAUCCUAAGCAAAUUAACAUAGGAAUGGAAAACCAAAUAUCAUAUUCUCAUGUAUAAGUGGGAGCUGAGCACUGGGUACACAUGGAUGUAAGACGGGAACAGUAGACACUGCAACUACUAGAGGGAAGAGAGAAGGAGGGUGGAAAGGGCUGAAAAACUACCUAUUGGGUACUGUGCUCACUGCCUGAGUGACGAGAUCAUUUGUGCCCCAAACCUCAGCAUCACACAAUAUACCCGUGUAACAAACCUACACGUGUACCCCCUGAAUCUAAAAUAAAAGUUGAAAUAAUUUUUUUAAAACAUAGGGCCUGGGCCAGAAGCGGUGGCUCAUGCCUGUAAUCCCAGCACUUUGCAUCACUUGAGGUCAGGAGUUCAAAACCAGCCUUGCCAACAUGGUGAAACCCUGUCUCUACUAAAAACACACACACAAAAAAUUAGCUGGGCACGGUGGUGCACGCCUGUAAUCCCAGCUACUUGGGAGGCUGAAUCACUUGAGCCCUGGAGGCGGAGGUUAUAGUGAGCAGAGAUCAUGCCAUGGCAUUCCAGCCUGGCUGUAGUUGAGCCAGAAGGAGAUAUUUUGUGUGAAGGCUGAGGUGGGGGCUCUUCAGAGCCUCUGUGAGCAGGAGGCCUAAGCCGUGGUGGUGGACAGAGUUGUAGCUUUCUGCCUCUUUGCCCUUUGGCAUGGACCCACAGGUGAACAGUACCAGCCUCCAUCCCCAGCACACGCUCUGCAGACCUUCACGUCUCACAGUUCCAUGUGAGCAAAUGGACUGGGAAAGCUGUGUGGCCUGAGAAAAGGCAAUGCCAUGGCCUGGCUCUCACACAGUAUUUUGUCUUGGAUUUUGAAAAAGCCUUUUUUUUUUUAAAUUUAAUUUAAUUUUUUUUUUUUUUUUUUUGCUUGUUUUGUGUUUUUGGUGGUGGUGGUGGUGGUGGUUUAUUUCACACUGACCACUUGGAACAAAUCCCAUGGUUAUCUGUGAUUUUCAUGCCCUGUUUCUGCUGGCAACCCUUCUGAGUGGGGUGACUCACUUUCCUGUAUAAAGAGUUUGAGUAGCCCAGGUAGGAGGUGGAAGCAGCCAUCUGGAAGGCCAUUGGGAUCCUUAUGUCUGUCUCUUGGCUUCAGAUAACCAGCUGGGCUUUGAUAGGAAUGAUCUGAAUGGAGACAGAAAACAGUGAAAACUAACGCUCCCCGCCCAGCCCUGUUUAUAUGAAGCAUUUGGUUCCUCUCUUGACUCUUGAGUGAUGAUGAGAUUCAGACGAGGCAUUGACAUUAUGGUAAGAAAGGGAGAAAAUGUAUCUGUCUUGUCUGUCUAUCUAUCUACUGGAUAUAUAGCUCCAAAAGCAGACAAACCCAAGGCCGUAAGGUGAACUAGGGUCUGCGUUUGGACUCCAUGAAAACAAAAUCCAUGUUGAACAAAGUGAUGUUUGUAUGCAGUGACAUUCUGGGUGACCCGUGUGUAUCUGUCCAUCGUGUGCAAGCCCUGAGCCCUGUUUCCCUCGGAAGAUAGUGAGUGGUAGCCAUCUCCUCACACGAACCACACAUGUGGAGCACAGAUGGCCCUCUCAAGGUAAUUGAUCUUACACAUUUACUGUUCACCAAACAAGUGUCUGAUGCAUACUUGGGUAUAUUCCACAGCAUGUGGACUGCGGUCCCCUGUGUUUGCCAGGAAUGCUGUGCUCCAUGUAGAGGUUUUCCUCUACUCCUCACUGCAAUUUGCAUGCUGCUCCAUGGACACUUGGAGGCCUGUGCUCUGUUCCCUGUAACUGGAAAUGUGCUCUGAACUUGUCUGUCUCCCUUGGCUGCUCCUGGCCCUUGGUACCAGCUCCCAUGGGUGUCCACAACCACUUGGGACAGAAGGUAAAGGUGGAAUUUCAAAGAGAAGCUUGCUUGGAUCUUCAGUGACAAGCUUGGAUGAGCUACAUCCCUAACAUGGGCCCUCUCAGAAUUGCCAGGAGGAGGCUUUGGCAGGUGUCACAGGUGUCACGGGGCCUGCCCUCCUCUGCUGCGUGCAGUGGAUGCAAGCCAGCCAACGUGUGGCCAGAGUGGCUGGAUGGUGUCACAGCCCUCAGAUGUCUUUCCUUCCACGUUUUUAAAAGAGUCCCAAAUAACUCACUUGAAGUGUCUCAAAGGUGAGCAAGUUUUAUGAAAAUGAAUCCUUCCUCAGUUAAUUGAUCAAAUGGGUGAAUCUUGACCCUCUCUAAUUUCUAUCCCAGGUCAGAGUGGGGAGCUGGUGUUAGCUGUGGGAUUCACUGCAGCGUCCUACCACAAAGGCAAAGAAGAUGAAAAUGCAGCGUGCAGUGCUGGGCUUGAUUCCCAAGUCGCAGUCGGGCUCCCGCUAUGGGUAGGAGGCUUUACACUCAGCCUGGGUCAGCACCGGAGCAUCCAGGCACUUCAGCUCGUCUGGGUAGUCAGCUGUGAGGAUCAGGAAGAGAUCAAAGAAAGUAGAAAUGUGGGUGAGGCCAGAGAAGGAGACAAUAAUCUGGGAUGGAACAUUGAAGAGGAACACUGCCUCUGGAGAGGACUCCAAAACGAGGCCAUGACAGAGGCACCUGAAGAAGACCUCUACAUAGGCCUCAGAUAAAGAGACCUAAGAAUGGAGGAUCCUGAGCUGGCAAUAUAAAUAUGCACAAGGGCGUGACCAGCCAGGGGGUCCUUGACUGCAACUCCCUUCAAAGACUGCAAUGCAUUGGCUGUGAACCAAGUCUGGGGUGGGCAGAACAGCCUCUCCACACCCUGUAAGCCUGCCAGAUGCAAGACAUUGUGAUUUUGACCUUGUUGGAUGCUGCACCUAAAGGUGGAUGGAAGAGGAAGAGUCUUGGGGGCUACCAUCCUGGCUGGAGAAGCUGGCACGAGGCUCCCUCUUGUGGAUGCAGCAAGUCUGAGGGCCAAGGGAAGAGAAGAGUGACAUAGAAUCUCCUUUCCUUGAGAUCUUAGAAUCACGCCUGCCUCCUUACCUCCAUCCAGGACUGUUAAAAAUCUCCCAAGGCAGAGACUUUUAGGCCUACAUGUACUUAGCCUCCUCUUCCCACCUCCUGUUCAUCUCUGUUUCCAAUGUUCCACUGCCAUCACUGCCAGGAAGUUCUGCAGAGAAGAAUGAAGAAGAACCGUAUGAUCCUAAACAUGUUCUUUGAAGAUAUUAUCAACCCACCAUUGGCCUUAUUUACUGGAAUGUUUUUAUAACCUUUAUUUGACACCUCUUCCCAUCAUUUAAAAUAAAUCUGGUGCUUCCCUGAAUAAUCUCUUGAGAUUUGUACAUGUCUCCCAGCAUCAUAUUUGUCCUUUUAACAAGCACACUCCUUCCACUGCUCAUGGCCAACUCAGGUUCACUACAAUCAGGGAAUCUAUGUCUUGCAACAAUCAGGUCUAUAUCAAACUUGAAUUUAUUUUCUUUUGUUUCUGAGAACUGUAAUUCCACUCCAAGGCCUAUACUGUACCCAACAGAGCUGCAUAUAUGUUUAACGAAAACAUGUCUUAGAAUAUUCACAAUACUUCUACUACUUAUGCCCUCAAACUGCAAACUACCCAAAUACCGGAGAAUAGAAUGGAUGAAUGAAUUGUAGUAAUAUUUAUUGAAUGCAAUAUAAUAAUGAUAAUGAAUUAACUGGAACUAUAUCCAAGAAGGAUGAAUCUCACAGACAUUAUGUUGGCUGAAAUGAGCCAAUCACAGAAGUGUACAUACUCUAUAACUGCUACAGAAAGUUCAAAGAACAGGCAAAACCAAUGCACAAUGUUAGAAGCUGGGAUUGCAUUUAUCCUGGGGUAGGGGAUGGGGUAUUGGCUGGAAGUAGGGGUGAGGAGGCCCUCUGCUGUUUUUGUUGUAUUCUCUUUAUCUGGGUGCUGGUUUUGAGGGUGUGUUCACUUUGUGAAAAUCCACUGAGCUGUAAACUUAUGUACAUUUCUAUAUGUGUGUUUUUAUAAAACUUACAGAAAACAAAGAAGAAAUAUAUUGCCGUAUAUUGAUUGGACUCUAUUCUGGGCUAUCUUGGAAACUGCAGCUUGAAGACAGCUAGGCCUCAGCAUAUGCCCUGACCUCCUGCAAUCUAAGCUCUGGAUCCUGGUCAACUUUGGGAGAAUAAUCAAGCCAAUUUUCAGAGAAGCAGUUUCUAUGUCUUUCAGGUCCUUGUGUCCUAAGGGAUUAGGAGCAUUAGGGACCUGGUCUCAGUGUGAUCCUGAGAGCUCAUCCAUUCUCUGGUCAUCCUUCAAGGAAAUGCCAGGCUCCUGAAUUCAUCUGCACAAACAGAGCUGGCCAGGCUACCUGCUGCCCACCAUCCCAUUGUCUUUCCUGCAUUGUUCUGGGACUCUGGCCACACUUACCUUCCAAAAUAACUGUGCAGUUGUCAUCAUUGUUCAGGAGACUAUUUUGGAACACUGGCUUAGCUUGGUGACGUGUAGAGAUCCAGGAAGGGCCUCAGCUGUCGGGAGGGAGGCCCAGGGCCAUCAGGGAGCUGGGGGUGGUAAGAAGUGACAGGGAUUGGGCUUCAGGAGGUGUGGAGGGGCCCAGGGGGAGCACCAUUUCUGACAAGUGUUCAGUCUUGGUGUGGAGAAUUGCAAAGAAAGAGGAGAAAGGAUUUGGGGGGAUUGGGUGCAGGUUGGAGGGAAGCUGGGAGGGGAGAAAAGAGUGAAGGAACAUUAGAUUGAUUAGUGCUGGAGGAAGAGGUAAGGAGAGACUUCGUUCACAGAGGAGGGGCUGGGAAGUGAGGGUAUGAGUUAAAGGGCACUAAUGGUAUGCUGACAUAUUGUUUCAAGAGUGGUUUCUGUAGCCUGGAGGACUUAAGGACAGCUGUUGGGAAUCUACGGGGUGAUAGAAAAGUAAGUGGGAGAAAGGGGAUGUGAUGAUUGAUGGGCAGCUUAGUGUCGAGUCAGGUGACAUCCUGCCAUGUUUAGCAAUGUAAUAAGUGGUCAGAUGACCUCACAAUCUUCAGGGCUGGGAGAUGGCAGAACCUUCUCACAGGGGUUGUGACAGAGGAGUUGGGUAGAUGUGUUCUCAGCAUAGAUGUGUUCUCAGUGGGCAAAGGUGGAAUUCCCUUCUCUUUUCUGUUUUCGCUUGACAACACAGGCCUGCAGAAACAGCAUACCAUGAGUUAAAACCCCUCAAUUGCAUGGGUUUUUGCACCCCCAUGAUUUGACAGGGUCUCUAGCUCUUUGAAAGUCUGCAACAAGACAGAAGAAAAGUCUGGGCUCCUGUGGGGGUGUUACAUGUGCUUGUGUACAAAUUAGCCCCCACAGGACUCUGCAGCUCCACGUUGCUCUGCUGGGCACUGGGGCCAUGUGCUCUGUUGGUCUAUGGGAACCUCUGUCUCCCUAGAGUUACAGUUUAAGAGAGGGGUUUCCAAAAAAGGUUGCUAAUGUCCCAGGAUUUUAUGGACUUUAAGUAAAACUUCUUUUUUUCUGUUGUACUCAGAAUGUUUUGAAGCUUUGUUCCUAGGUUACCUCACAGUGCCUGAAUUCUUUCCUUUCUUUUCUUAGACAUGGGGUCUUGCUCUCUCACCCACGCUGGAGCGUAGCAGCUAUUCACAGGUGUGAUCAUAGCACACCACAGCCUCCUGGGCUCAAGCAAUCCCCCUGCUUCAGCCUCCUGAGUAGCUGGGACCAUAAGCAGGAGCCCAUACCCAGCUUCAAUUCUUCUUUUCCUACAAUAAGUUCUGGUCCAGAAAAUUUUGCAACUCACCCCCGCCCUUCACUCCACAAAAAGACUUCCACUGGGAUUCCUGUCAAAAUGCCAGACUCACUUGAAUCCCUAGGAUGGAUCCAGCCUCGGUUUAAGUGCAGAUUCCUGCUUCAUCUCAGAGCCUGGCUGUUUUGAGGAGCAGGUGGUUUUACCCAUCCACCCACUCGCCCCUUGCUUCAUUGUCUAGGCCUGUCCUUUCUCACCUAGUGUCCUAAUCCCCUCCUCACUACCUCACAAUGGAGAAAGCUCUGUGUUGCUUUCUUUCAGGAUUUUCCUGCUUUUCAAAAGAGCUAGGGCACUAUGUGCUUUCAUGCAGGACCUAAGCAAAUAAGGACAUCUCAAGGAGAUGCCUAACUCUUAACCUGGUGCCCACCCCACCCUGGAGAGGACAGUUCUUGUUCAUAGUGUACAUGAUUGUUUAUGUCAAAGACCCAAUGAGUUUGCAAAGACCUCUUAGGACUAAUAAGUGAGUUUAACAAGUUUGCAGGAUAUAAGGUUAACACACACACACAAACAAAUCAAUUGUAUUUUUAUACAUCAGCAUAUUAGGGUUCUCUAGGAAAACAGAACCAAUAGGAUACACACACACACACGUAUAUAUGUGAGAGGUACACACACACGUGUGUGUGUGUGUUUAAAAAGAGCGAGGCAGAGAGAGAUUGGUUAGUUUUAAUGAAUUUGCUUGUGUGAUUGUAGGGGCUGGCAAAUUUGAAUUCUACAGAGCAGGCUGUCAUGGUGGAGACCCAAGGAAGAGCUGAUGUUGCAGCUCAUGCCUGGAGGCCGUCUGCUGGUAGAACUCCCUCUUUUCCAAGGAACCUCAGUCUCUCUUCUCAAGGCCUACAACUGAUUGGGUGAGGUCCACUUACAUUAUGGGGGGUCAUCUGCUUUACUCAAAGUUGAUUGAUUUAAGUGUUAAUCACAUCUAAAACAUUUCUUCACAGCAUCAUCUAGACUGGUGUUUGAGCCCAAACUGUCUACCAUGGCAUGGCCAAGUUGACACAUAAAAUUAACCUCAAGGCUGGGCGUGGUGGCUCACGCCUAUAAUCCCAGCACUUUGGGAGGCCGAGGCGGGUGGAUCACAAGGUCAGGAGAUUGAGACCAUCCUGGCAAACAUGGGGAAACCCCAUCUCUACUAAAAAUACAAAAAAAUUAGCUGGGAGUAGUGGCGGGCGCCUGUAGUCCCAGCUACUCAGGAGGCUGAGGCAGGAGAAUGGUGUGAACCCGGGAGGCGGAGCUUGCAGUGAGCUGAGAUCGUGCCACUGCACUCCAGCCUGGGUAACAGAGUGAGACUCCGUCUCAAAAAAAAAAAAAAAAAAUUAACCAUCACAACCAGAAAUGUGGAAUUGGAUAGGAAAAUUGAAAACCAGUACCACAUAGAAUACCAAAAAAUGAAAUAGAUAAACAUCUUACUGAAAGCUACAAAAUACCAGUGAAAAUACUCAAAGAAGAUAUAAACAAAUAACAAGAAACACCAUAUUUGAAGAUUGGAAGACUUAACUUUAAAAAGUUGCCAAUUCUGCCAAAACUGAUAUAGAGAUUUAAAACAAUUCCAGUCAAAAUCUCACCAGGACAUAUUGUUGCUAUAGACAAGCUGAUUCUAAUGUUUACAUGGAAAGUCCAAGGACUUGAAUAGCUAAAACAACUUUGAAAAAUAAGAAUAAUGGUGUAGGAAACAUGCUACCCAGUUUUAAAACAUACUACAAAGUUACAGUAAUCAGGACAGUAUGGUAUUGCCUGGGAACACAGAGCUCAAUGGAACAGAAUCGAGUCCAGAAAGAUAACUGCUUAAAUAUGGCCAUGUGAUUUUUGACAAGGGUGCAAGGGUAAUUCAGUAAAGGAUCAUAUUUUCAACAAAUGAUGUUAGAACAACUGAACAUUCACAUAAACAAAACAGACAAACAAGAAAACUGAAACCUUACAGCUUGUAUACAAAUGAACUCAAUAUUGAUGAGAUGUAAAAGUGAAGCUCUAAAAAGUUCAGAAAAGAACAUAGUAGAAAAUCUCUUCCUGGGAUUAGGAAAAGAGUUCUUAGACACGGUACUAUAAGCACGAUCCGAAAAAGUUGAUAAAUAGGUCUUUAUUGAAAUUAAAAGACUUAAGAUGCUAUUAAAAGAAUGAAAACAGUAUAGCCCAGGAGAAAAACUUUGCAAGUCACAUAUGUCACAAGACUUUGCAGAAUAUAUAAAUGGCAAAUAAAACACAAAAAGAUGUUCAAUAUCAUUAAGCAUUAGAGACUUGUAAACAAACCAAAUACACCUAUUAGAAUUGCUGAAAAAAGGAAAACCUUUGGUAAUACCAAGAACUGUUGAGAGCAAUUACAUUUUUUUUUUAUUAUUAUUAUACUUUAAGUUCUGGGGUACAAGUGCAGAACGUGCAGUUUUGUUACAUAGGGAUACAUGUGCCAUGGUGGUUUACUGCACCCAUCAACCCAUCACCUACAUUAGGUAUUUAUCCUAAUGUUAUCCCUCCCCUAGCCCCCUACCCCCCGACAGGCUCUGGUGUGUGAUGUACCCCUUCCUAUGUCCAUGUGUUCUCAUUGUUCAACUCCCAC